CGAACAGUCGCUAGACCUUCGCUGGACCGCCGCCAAACCACCAUUUUAUUUUAUAAUUCCUUUCCCUAUCAAAUUUUAUGUCAAACCAAACAAUGAAAUUUAAUUUCACUAUUCUCCUCCGCUCCUUUCUUCUCCCUUCCCCUCCAUUUCACUCUUUUCCUCUCCUCCCCUUUCUUCAAACCAAACAUAGCCUAAAGUCAUUUGGGAACAUUCAUUAUUGGAGAGUAAUUUAAGUGUAGGAAAUGCAGAGAGAGGAUUUGAGUGAGAGGGAAGUGAUUUAAGCUUUCAAGUUGGAUUUCUCACUAAAGGGAGUGAGAUUUCUAUCAUUUUUAUUAUUAGUUGAAGUUGGAUUACACAAGAAUGAAGUUAAUUUAAAGAUUAGUAUACUUUAUUCAUAGAAGGGUUUCCAACAAAUGAGUAAAGUUGCUUCCAAGCUAAUUUUAUUAAUUGGUGGAUUAUUUUAGGAACAUAAGGGCACCAGCAAGACAUUGUAGAGCCGGAGACACUUUGCCCUCAUUGUUUUCUUGAUUCGAUGUACAAAUAGCUUGUAAAUAUAUAUAUUAUGUAACACCCCAAAUUCACCCAAGAAUCCCAAGAGGAAUUUGGAAAGAAACCUCUUAACAUUACAAUCUUAUUACUAUUCCCAAAGGAAAAUCAAUAAUAUCCAAUAAUAUCCAUAGUCGAAACAUAGUCUCUAAAACAAUAAAAAUAACAAUAACCUCCAAUACCAAAUUCAACUCUAAAUAAUAACCAAAGUAGCAACAAUUUAUUCAUCACAAAAAGGCCCAAAGUUUUUGGCUAGCAAAUCAUCUUCUCUAAAACAAAAAGCCCACAUCUCUAAAAUCAAUCUACAAAAUGUUGGAGACGAGAGGGGAGCCAUCAACUCAAUAAGCAAACUCAUGCAUAAGAUUACUAAUAACGAUGAAGUACAUAAUAAUCAUUAUGAUGUGCCAUAAAUUAGAAAUCAGUAAUCAUUUUGUAAUCUUAUACAUAUGUACCGUUAAAUUAGAAAUCAGUAAUCAUUUUAAAAUCUAAUAUAUAUGUACGGUAAAACUUAUAAUCAAGUAUGUCAUAACGUAAAAAUAAUCAUUUUUAAUACAUAUUGAUAAAUGAUGUGCCAUAAAUUAGAAAUCAGUAAUCAUUUUAUAAUCUAAUAUAUAUGUAUGGUAAAAAUUAUAAGAGUAAUGAUACAGCCACAAACUCUUGUACAAAUUUAUUUUGUACAAACUGGAGUGGCAUUAAUUCAUUGGUUGAAUGAAAAUAUAAAUUAAUAAAAACAAAUCAUGUGGGCCAAGUGAUAUUUAAUGCAACCAAUCUUAUCAUGCCACAUCAGUUUGUACAAAAUAAGUUUAUACAAGAGUUUGUGGUUGUAUCAUUAUUCAAAUUAUAAUCAAUUAUGUCAUAACAUAAUAAUCAUUUUUAAUAAAUAAUCAUUUAUCAAUAAAAAUCGUCCAUUUGUUCAGUUUGUUCAUGCCUUAUAGUGUCACCUAUAUUCCUGGUGACCUGGCCAGUAGUUUAGUAUAUCACUUGUGAUCCUGGUGAUCCAACCAGUUGUUUAAUCAGAGUACUUUACCUUGCAAAAAUUGCCAAUACGUGCGCACAGUACAGUUAAUUGUUCAGUAAUAUCAGUAAUAGUAAAUACAAACAAUGAGCUAAAACCUUAAAAUAAUUUUCAAUCUUUGACUAUCGUAAAAUACUAGCUAUGAAACCCAAAAGGGGGGUGAAUUGGGUUAUAAACAAAAAUUGUAUAAUAAAAAACACAAUACAAUUAAAAUUACUGCUUCAAGGAAUAUGAAUAACAAUAAAUUUAACAAAGCAUAAACUUAAAAGGAGUAAGGGUGAAGAAAACAAACACAUGGAUUUUUACGUGGUUCGGCAAACCUAUCUACAUCCAUGCCUCCAAGCAAACCACCCUUGAGGAUUUCACUAUUUAAGCCUCCCAAGGCUUCAAAAUCUUACAAUUGACUUCCAGGGUAUCAAUAAACCUUUACAAGUGAUGUUUCACUCACACACACCUUUCCCAAGUGUUUCCCACGCCUAUGCUUACGCAAAAAAUUGAAAGUUAUAACAAAUACUCUCUUUCAGAGUGAAUAUAUAAAAGAUAGCUCAAUGAUAACUUAAUAUAUAUAUAUUUGCAAAAUGGAAGCUCAAGAUCAGUAAUAUGAACAAGUUUUAGCUCAAUUGAUAUUGAAAAAGUUGUUAGAUUUGAGUUUGAUUUGGGUUUUUAUAAUUUAAACAAUCAAAUUAGCCAUUAUUGACUUUUUAGGGACUUGUCGGAUGCCACCAAAAUGAAGCGGUUUGUCACUAUGCUGACGUGGCAAGUUACUCUUACAAAAUCAAAUUUGAAAUUUUGCCCAAGCAGUUAGCUGCUAGAUUUAGCCAACUAGCCGCUAUGUUUCUAGACCUUAGGCAGUUAGUCGCUACAAAUUAAGCAAUUAGCCGCUAUUGUUCCAAAUUUUAUAGUUUUGCCUUAAAUAUUUUAGAAAUUAUACUAUGGCCCAAAAGAUUUUGAACGUUUUUCAAAUAGGUCCACUUCCAGAAUUUAAAAUAAUACUUUAUUGAUAUCAAAGUUUUCAAAAUCUUUCAUUUUAGUCCAUUAUUUUGAAAAACAACCAAUUUCAUAAAAUUACUUGUCUUAUAAUUAUAAAGCCUUUAGUUCAUGAAAAAAGAUGACUUAUUAAAUAAAAUCUUGGGCUUUUAAAAUGCUAAAUCAUGCAUACAUUAAAUCAUACUAGCUUUACAAGAAUUAUAGAAAUGGAGAUCACUUUGAGCUAGUACUCUUAAUAUUUGUCCUUGAUCGUGUCAUUGCCCAUUGUGUGUCUUGAGCUAGAUAUUGCUUGAAUGAAUUUUACUCUUCAAGAACUAGUGAGAUUGUGAAAUAUACAAUUACCCUUAAUAUGUGGUUUGUUAUUAUCAAAAUUAUAGUUCGUGUAGCUCUCUAGGCUAAAAUAUCAAUAAUUCAACAAUCGAUCAAUAAAAACUCUUAUAAGACAUUUAAUUGGGAAAGCUUUACAAAUUAAUUUUAAGGAAAACAAUUUAUGGAACACAAGUAUUUUAAAGUC
rnacentral:lncRNA from 1 species